AUUUUUUUAGACGAAAGCAAAGAUAUUACAAGAAAUGGAAAGACUAAGGAAAACCCAUAUGGAUUUGUUUUUUGUACCAGUUGGUAAUUCAGAUGUGGAUUUUCACAAGACAAUGGCGGCAAUUUCAGACGGUACGGUGCUCGACUGCAGACAAGGUAGAAGGCUGGCGAGGAGACAAUAUUUAACUACACGCUUGCUAGAUCCAAUAGGCCUUAUUGCUGGCACGCAAACACGUGGUUCUGAUUAUGACCUUUCCAGCGAAGAUAAGGAAGAUCUGAUGAAUAUACAGAAAAGUGCCAAACGACAUUUUGAUGAAAAUGUAAGAAUAUCCAACAGCCCCAACAGAGAUGCUUAUCAUGAAUCCAAAAGCAAGACAUUGCCUCCGAUUGGCAGCCGAGUACGGAGAGGUCCGGACUGGCAUUAUAGACAGCAAGAUAGCAAUGGCACUGGAACGGUCAUAGGGCAUGCUGGUAACGAUCAACAGCUUUGGAUAGAAUGGGAUGCAGAUGAAAAUCAAAAUGUUUAUAUGUAUGGGGCUCUAGGAUAUGACGUGCUUAUUGUGGAUGAACCCAGAAAACUUAAACCAGGGGAGAAAAUAGCAGUUGGUUGUAAAGUAGUACCUGGAAAGGACUGGCAAAACACUGAUGGCAACGUAAAUCUGGGCGUGGUUAUUAAAGUAAAGAGAAAUAAAAAGAAGGCAAAGGUACGAUGGAAUAAUGGUAAACGUGGCAGUUAUAUGUAUGAUGAUAUACAACAGGUUCAAGUGAAGACAGAGGCCGAUUCAAGGAAAGUUUGGUUCUUUUAUUUGUUUGUUGAUUGGGUUGUAAGUCGUACCGACACGGUAAAGUGACUUGUAUGAAACGUUUUAGAUUAUUAGCUCACUGUUUUACAGAAUGAUUAUUUUACUUUACGUUUAUAUAAACUCAAUAUGGGCUAUGAGUCGCACAAAAAGAAGAAUUACUAUUUAAUUCUGAGUAAAUUGACUUCUGCAUGCCUUUCCGUUUUUUGGUGCCCAGUCGAUCUAUGUAAGAAAUUCAAAUUUUAUGCUUUUGGCUUUUGGAGCUCGGUGUUCUUUUAAUCUAAAAUGUACAUUGUUUAAUAAUUGAAAGAAAAAUAAGUUACAAAUGUAAAUGUAUAAUAGGUAAAGAUGCGUAUAUGAUAUUACAAUAAUAAUCAACUUAUUUAUUUUCUUAUUUUACAGAGGUACCAGCAACCGCUUUAAUGAGAGAUCUCCAAAGCAAGAAUUCGAGUUUGAAUUUGAAACUCCGCCUGCCAUGACGAUAGAAGAGUUUGCGUCUAAACAAGAAAAUAAAAAGAAUAAAAACUCGAACUAGAUAUAGAUAAAAGGACAUUCUACAUUUGAUGUGUGUCGCCGAUCCGACUGCUACAAAAUGUGAACUAGGCAGAUUUUUAGAAGAUGGAAAAUCAAAAUCAGAUUUGUCUGAUAUUCUAUCCGGUCGCUUGCAACAAAGAACCAAAAUAACAUCAGUUUCAUAGUACAUGAUCCAAAGUUAUAUAAAAAAGUAACUACAGAAGUACAUGGUCGCAUUAUCGGAUAAAAAACUGUUUUGUAAUACUGAACGUUUGUAACGUCGAUUUUCAUUGGUUAAUUUUGAUGUUUAUAUAAUCUAUAUACACGACUUCUUCUUCUUCUUCUUCCAAUACUGUACAUAACCCACUCUGGGGCAUUGACAUACAGGGUGUAUGUACAAAGUGUUGUGCGGCGAAUAAGUGCAAGUUUACAAGAAGAACAGGUUAAAAAUAAAAUCGACUCCGGCAUAUUAGGGCCCCAUGACUAGUCCUCCCUUGAAGGCCUCAAGGUUGAUUGCUGUGGCUAGGUGCUCUAGAAGCUGGUUCCACAUGCGGAUGGCCGAAGGUACAAAGGAGAACUUCAUGGUGUCUGUUCUGCAGAAUGGGACAAGGAAUCUGUGUCCGUAGUCAUGGCCACCAAGUGUCAGGGGGGUGAAAGUACUGUGCAGCUGGGAUGGUUAUGAGGUUGUGCGUGAUCCUGUAGACCAUCACUAGCUUGGCAUUGUCCUGGAGCGGCGAUGCUGUAGAGUUGGCCAGCCUAGGUCUGUCAUCAUUGCAGUGGUGCUGCUGGUAGUUUUGUAAUCGCCUUUUACAAAUCGGGCAGCUUGCCUUUGGACAGCUUCCAGCUGGUUGAUGUUGGUGGCUGUGUGUGGGUCCCAGACUGUGCCUGCAUACUCCAGGAUUGGUCUAACAAGGGUCUUGUAGUCCUGGGCCUUGAUGUCUUGUGGGCAGCUUGUGAUGUUUCUUCUAAGGAAUGAUAGAGAGUUGUUGGCAUUCUUGAUGGUAGAUUCUGUGUGUAUGUUCCAUUAAAAAUUAUUUGCGAUGCUGACACCAAGGUACUUUCCACUUUUGACAGAUUAAAGAGUUGAUUGGUGGACCUUGUAGGCAUAAAUGAUGGGACUUCUUUUUUGGGGGAUUAUUUAGUGUAUUACUUCGUAUUUGAUGGGAUUGAAAGACAUCAUCCACUUGCGUUCCCAUUUCUGGAGUCUAUCUAGGUCUUCUUGGAGGGCUAAUGCGUUAGCUUCUGAUUUGAUUUUCCUGUAGAUCAGGCUGUCGUCAGCAAAUAGGCAGCUGAUGGAAGUCACGCACCUUGGUAGGUCGUUGAUGUAAAAGAGGAACAGUAAAGGACCUAGUACUCUCCCCUGGGGUACACCGGAACUAAUUGGGGAUGAUGCGGAUGAAUGGCCUUCAACGACAACUUGUUGGCUGCGGCCUGGUCCGGACUGUUGUAAAUUAAUAAAGAAAUGUUUUUUCUAGUAGAAGAAGUUUUUUAGUAUUAUAAAUUCAUUAUAAAGAUUCUUAACAGGGUAUAUGACUCCGAGUAUAUACAGAAAGAACAAAAAUUGCUUAAAUGGAUGACGCCCAUGCGAAGCGGACUUUUGGCGACCAUGACUUUUGGCGACGUUAUUGCAUUAUCGCAAUGUGCGUAAUAUUGACCCCUAGCCUUUUCACUCGUCAAUCCACAACGAAAUGGGACUAAUAGCAGGCUAGUAUUUUGCUUUACAAAAUUCGUAGUAUUUAUCAACUAGCUGAUGAAAAAAAAUGACGCGUGAGCUAAAUCUAUGCAAAGCGACAAUCUUGCAGCCAUAUUUCUCGCGCCAACACAAAAAAUAUAGUGAAGGCAAUCAGUUAUACACGGACCAAUUUGCAGCAAAAUCGGACAAAUGGGUAGCUUAAGGAAACAGCGGGUACAUUCAGAGUAAAUCCAUUGGUAGGUUUUUUAACCAUUGCAUACCAAUGGUACUUAUGUUUAACGGACAAAAUUGGCAGAUUAUUAGGCAGGAAGACUAGUUCUUUAGAAGUGACGUCACUUUUUUGACGUCAUUGAAAAUAGCGAUUCUGGUCUUAUUUUCAUUGUUGUAUGAAAACUUUAAUGAUCAUAUUAGACUGUAAUAGAAUUGCACAUUUUCAAAGUGUUCAGGUUUUCAAAUAAACAAAAAUUUGAUUCUAGAUAACUUUUACUAAUAUAAAUACGAGUACAAGUUACAAUUUAAG